AUGGAUGAAUGCACCGCCAAAAAACUUAGAGCUUCAUAUGCUAGAGUUUUAGAGGAAGUAGAUAUCACACAAAAACCUAAAAAAAGUGUAAAAAUAAUGGAUCAUAGAGGAAAGCUGGUUGAACAAAUCAUUGACUAUGAGUGGAGACCUAAAUAUUGCCAUAGCUGUCUAAAAAUAGGGCAUGAUUGUACUGAGAAGCAACAGCUUGUUAGACAACAGACCAAAGUGUGGAAACUUGUGGCACUCAAACCUAUUGUUGAAGAGAAGAUAGAGGAAGAGCCAAGACCAUGA